rnacentral:rRNA from 1 species
GUAGGGAAUAUUGGACAAUGGGCGAAAGCCUGAUCCAGCAAUGCCGCGUGUGUGAAGAAGGCCUGCGGGUUGUAAAGCACUUUCAGACGGGAAGAAAAGCGGUUGGAUAAUACCCGGCCGUCUUGACGUUACUGUCAGAAGAAGCACCGGCUAACUCUGUGCCAGCAGCCGCGGUAAUACAGAGGGUGCGAGCGUUAAUCGGAAUUACUGGGCGUAAAGCGUGCGUAGGCGGCUUCUUAAGUCGGAUGUGAAAGCCCCGGGCUUAACCUGGGAAUUGCAUUCGAAACUGGGUUGCUGGAGUACGGUAGAGGAAAGCGGAAUUCCGGGUGUAGCGGUGAAAUGCGUAGAUAUCCGGAGGAACAUCAGUGGCGAAGGCGGCUUUCUGGACUGAUACUGACGCUGAGGCACGAAAGCGUGGGGAGCAAACAGGAUUAGAUACCCCUGUAGUCC